GACGAACGCUGACGGCGUGCUUAACACAUGCAAGUCGAAGGGAGUGGCGAACGGGUGAGUAACACGUGAGUAACCUGCCCUUUUCUUUGGGAUAAGCCUGGGAAACUGGGUCUAAUACUGGAUGGUUUGGGCUGGGCUAGCGGCUUGUCAGCUGGUUGGUGGGGUGAUGGCUUCCCUAGGCUUUGACGGGUAGCCGGCAUGAGAGGGUGGACGGUCACGGUGGGACUGUGAUACGGCCUAGACUACUACGCGGGGGAGAAGUGGGGGAUAUUGCACAAUGGACGAAAGUGUGAUGCAGCGAGGACGAGUGGGGGAUGAAGGCCGUCGGGUUGUAAACUCCUUGCGCCCGCGGGAUGGUAGUGGGUAAAGAAGCGCCGGCUAACUACGUGCCAGCAGCCGCGGUAAUUC
rnacentral:rRNA from 1 species